AUGGGGUUUUCUAAUAUAGAGCCAUUGCUUUAAGAAACCAGGCUAAAGGUAGGAUAAAUAAAAAAGUGGAAUAAAACAAAAUAGGUUUCAUAGGAGGCUGCCACGUGGGAUUCACUGAACUGAACACUGGUUGUGUAAAAUUUAAGUUUCUUAUCCCUGCAAGUUGUGAAGAGUACAUGCUCAAAAGUGAUCCAAAAGGAUGAUGCCUUACCAAGCCAUCUUCUGGGAAUGCCUGCCUCUCUACCAACUCAAGAGAGAGCCUAGACUACUCAUUUUGACUGGACAUGUAACUUUUAGACAUGUAACCUUAGGUGAGAUAGCCUAAUAUUUGUGUUAAAGUAGCAUCAGAUGAGUGCAUGAAGACCAAAAAGACUUCCCACUUUGUUGUUCUUAAUGCUGUUAGUGAACUUGUCUUCUUUUCCACCUUCAGGAAAGCUGUGGCAAUUGCAGGAGAAAGAACUGACCAGUCUUUCAUUUGUGGUUGAAUCCAUGUGAAGAGAUUAGGCCAUGCAGGGACUCGCCUUCACUUUUAGAUGUCUGAAUCUCAGGUUGAAUCUCAUCUCUACUUUUAGCUGUCUUAAUAUGCAAGUUGAAGCCCAUCUGUAGUAACCAUCCUACCGGGAGUCUCACAGGAAUCAUAGAAAGAUUUGGUUUGGAAGGGGUCUUUAAGGUCAUCUAGACCAACUCCAUUCUCUUUCUUUAAGCAUCAGAAGAGAUUGUAGGUCUUUUCUUACUGCAGCUACACAGGGAGCAGAGGUCCAAACUGACCUUCAAUGUUUCCUGGGACCAGUCAUCUACCACCUCUCUGGGAAACCUGUGCCAGUGUUUUACCUCUCUCAUUGUAGAUUUUUGGGGUUUAAAGUCAUUCAAAUGCCAAAUAGGUGGCUUAAUUUCUUAACUGACUAGAAAGAUAAAUGACCUUAAUAACCCUUUAGGCUCAUUCAAUAAGUUGAUGGCAAAUCUGCACAGUCUUUCUGUGACCAUUACUCCAUCCAAUAUUGAAGAGUUUCUCUUUACCAUUUAAUCCAGAUUCCCUCUUAUUUCAGGAAAAUUUGUUACAUAAUGCACAAGCAAAUAUAUGUGGCUUGAAUUUAUGUAUUCAAGUAACAGUCUAAGCUUCUGCUCUCACCAUGCCUAACAGAGUUAAUUUGGACCUUCUCCCCUUGGAUGGACAGAGAACAUGUUUUUCAUUGCAGCCUGAACCUAUUCAGGGCCAAUUUAUACUCAGCCAGCGAUAAAACUGUUCUUUAGCUCACACAGCACUUUUCCCUCACCACCCGUCACGUACUCCCAGUGUCUCAUCUCACACUCACAAAGGUUUACGGUCUAGCCUGAGAUGUUCUGCUUGAGAGACAUAGUUCCUGUACUCACCAGCUCCAACUAGUCUUUGGGGGGCUGCCUCCUUGGAUGCACUUGUGUGUGCCAGUGGACUCUACCCUCACAAAGACAAUGAAAUGCAGAUUUUUUUCAGCAAUCAGCACAGAUUUUUAGCAAUCACCACUUGGGCAACCGGCUUAGCAAAUUGCUAGACACUGAUUCACCUCUUCUGGAAGUGAAUUAGUUCCAACCAGUUGAGUAUCUCCAGUUCAGUUAAAAAGUGCUGACAUCUCACAGAAACACUGGAUCAACUUUCUAUUUCAAGACUCUUCUGUCCGUGCAUCAUGUUCCCAAUUGCCUGCCUUCUGAUUUUUCAAGGCUUUUUUGCUGGGAGUAAGGAUCUUGAUGUUUAUCCUCUCCCGAAAUCAUAAAUUCUUUCCUUUAUUAGCUCACUAGAAAUUCUCUCAGAGUUAGAGAGUAUGCAGUGUCUUCAAAUGGAGUCCGAGCAGCAGCAGCAGGGGGUGGACAGUAAAAAUGGGCUUAAUUUCACCUAACUUCAGCCAUUGAGUUGGGUAGCUGAAACUAAUCCUCUAGGCUCCCCCUAGAGUCAUUAGAAAAAGAAGACAACAUGGGUUUUCAUUCCCACCCAAAGAUAAGCAUCGGAAACAUCCUAGAAAAGAAUCCUUAAGUGGCUGAAGUUACGGAGAUGGAGCUGGUUAAUCACAAAAGACCCUCUCAAGAAGGAAGAAAAAGAGAACAAGCCAGAAGUGGCAUCGGUUGCUGCUCUGCAGGGUAGAUAAAGCCAUGGUGAAUGACCUGAAAGGCAAAUCAGUCUCCGGUAUGGGGGAAACCUCACCAGAGCAGAUCUUCAGGCAAGACUAUCCAAUGCAUAAGGAAUUCUGAAGCAGGAUGGUCUCAUUCAGAGCUUUUCACCUUGGAUUUUGUCCAUAAGACCCACAGCAGAUGUUUCCCUCAAGAGCCAACAAAGAAGCCAUCACACAGUGUUUUCAGUCACCACAGCCAAGAGUAAUGACUUCAGCCUUGUGCAAACAGCAUCAGAUCCGAAGUAUCAGGCCUCCUUUUUUUUUUACUCUUCUCUGCUCACAUUAGAAGACAGCAGUGACAUCAAAACUCUCUUUGCAAGGCAUAUAAAACACACAGUGAAUAUGGCCAGAAAUCCAUGAUGGCCAUCAAACCUAACGUGGCCAAAGCUCCUUCUUGUAUAUUUUGGCCUUGACUUUGCAUACAAAACAUGAGGAAAAGCCCAGUGGAAACAGGUCAGAAAAGGCCAUCUGACCCUCUGUAACACCUGGUCGUUGGACUGACUUCUUACACAACGGAGGAUUUUUGCAGCAUAGCUGCCAGCACCAUCCGUGUCAGAUCUUUCCCUCCCCGAUCAAUGGCUUCAGUUGACGUAAGCUGUGAUGUUUCACUGAACCUGAGUGACCCAGGAGAGAAUGGACAGGAGGCUCUUUAUCCAGGAUGGGAAAGCAUUCAUCCAGCUGUUAAGAAAACAAUCUGGGGAGAGGAGACAUCUAUUAUUAGACUGUGUAAAAGUUAAGUGUAAUAUAACCCUCAUUCACAAUAACGAUCAUCUCUGGUCAGAGCCUCAGCUGGUGUAAAUUGAUUAUGCUUUUCUUUUGGAUGCUGUUUUACAUCAGUAGAAUGAUCUAUGUUUGGAGAAGUUUAUUGUAAGAUAGUGGAGAAAAUAUUUCAACCCGUGCCAUCCCCGAGGGUCUCCUUAAAAUAGAAACAUUAAGAAGGCUUCCUUUAGUGUUACAUUCCUUCAUUGUAUACAUGUUCAUGGAUACAAUCUGAAGGAAAAGAAAACAAAACUUAGAAAUCCAAAUUACCUUUGCCUGAUAGAGUAUGAGGCUGGGACAGAUCUAUGAAGGAGAAUAGAGUCCUCUGGUGGGAAGAUUUCCAAGCAGGGACCUCACACACUCACAAUGCAUCAUCCCGAACAAAAGCAAGCAUCUGGACAGGCGGACUAAUCCACCUCACCCUCAAAAGUUUAUAUAGAGAGAAAGGUUCUUCUGGUAACCAGGGCAGAGAGCAUACACAGCAUUUGGGGAUGAUGGGAGAUGACAAAAUCUUUUUCCUGGAGCACCUGCUCAAAUAUAAACUUGAGCAGUAGAGCUGUUUCUCAUCUGAUCAUGAUUUCCAAGGAUGGUAGGGCCUAAAACUGCAGGGCCUGAUUGUCUGCACCCCACAAGUCAAGACAGGGACUCUCAUUACAUGGGAAAAGGACUGGACAGAUUGUUUUGGAGUCACUAGAAUUGUGAAGAUGUUCACACGUCCACCUCUAGUACUGGGAGUCCCUGGGAGUCCUGUGAUUUUAGGGGACAUAGAAUCACAGAAUCAUAGAAUAGUUUGGGUUGGAAGGGACCUUAAAGUUCAUCCAGUUCCAAUCCCCCUGGGGGGCAGGGACAUCCCACUGGAUCAGGCUGCCCAAGGCACCAUCUAGCCUGCCCUUGAACACCUCCAGGGAUGGGGCAGCCACAUCUUCCCUGGGCAACCUGUUCCAGGGCCUCACCACUCUCAUCAUGAAGAAAUUCUUCCUUAUAUCCAGCCUAAAUCUGCCCCUCUCCAGUUUAUCCCCAUUGCCCCUCAUCCUAUCACCACAAGCCUUUGUGAACAGUCCCUCUCCAGCUUUCCUGUAACCCCUUUCAGGUACUGGAAGGUUGCUAUAAGAUCUCCUUGGAGCCUUCUCUUCUCCAGACUGAAAAAGCCAGCUCUGACAUCUCUAUCAACCACCCAUACAAUCAUACUCCCAUUCUGUCCUGCAUUCCUGCUCUGCCCAGAGAACAGAGGAGGUGAUAAGAGGAGGAGUGUGACAUCUAAGGAGACUUGUUCUGUGGAUCUCAGCUCACCCACAGUAGCAGCAAAAACCUACAUGACUGAUGCUGAGCUGUGAACUCAACAUUAGAUUUUAUGUGGCUUUUCUUACGGCUGCGCCUGAGAGGUGGAAUGAGGUUGUGGGGCAGCAUCUUUGUCUGUCCUUGCUUGUGUCUUGCAUUGAGCAGUUUGGGAGAAGGGUUACAGCUACCACUCAGGGAAACUCACAUAUGGACUUGGCUGUAGUGCAUUUGAUGCUCAUACCUUCGAAGAAUAGCUCUAGUCCUUGUACUUCCCAUCCUCCCAAAAGGGAACAGACAGGGAGAAAUGAAUCAUGCUCUGACUGCUGUAACUGGCAGGGGCUGACUUUGGAUCCAAGUGUGAGAUUAUUUUGUUCGUGGAUAAAGGGGAUCCAGGAAAACAUCUCUUACAGUCUUGGUGGCCAUGAGAGUGAGACAUGGCCGGAGUCAGAAUUCCCUGCUAUGCUUCUAAGGCAAACUUUAAAUUAGGACUGGAGGGAGGGAACAAUUCCUUUCGUGUGCAGCUUCAGCAAUUCAGAAUAACCACCUUUAAUUAUUAAAUGAUUCAGGGGAAAACAUCAUCCCAGAAACAUCCCUGUUCCAGCCCAGCACUCAGCACAUGGGGGUCAGGAUACGGACAAGGAAUCAAAGCCUGGAUGUAGCCAUCCCCUAAGACACAUCAGAUCCUGGUUUACUUACACCAUCCCCUCCCACUGGUAGCAGAAGGAGGUGGGGGUAAUUUAAUAUACAGUGCUCUCCCCUGCUUCUCCUCUCUUUCCUAGGAAAAAAAAAAAAACAAACGAGGGAGCUGCAAUGGGCCCCCUCAAACUUUACAGUCGAUUUCCACCCCACCCCACCCCCGCUUCUCAGAAAGACUGUAGAGCCCUGAAUAUAUAUUUUCUCAGUUUGCCCCAUACUUAAACACACAGUUGCUCAGUUCCCGGGAGGAAAGGGGCUCUCCCAGCUUUAGUCCCUCCUCAGCCAAAUGGAAUGGGCCAGACCCCAUGAAACAAACCCCAGCAGAGGUG